rnacentral:rRNA from 1 species
GACGUAGGGCGCGAGCGUUGUCCGGAUUUAUUGGGCGUAAAGAGCUCGUAGGCGGCUUGUUGCGUCGACUGUGAAAACCCGCGGCUUAACUGCGGGCUUGCAGUUGAUACGGGCAGGCUAGAGUUCGGUAGGGGAGACUGGAAUUCCUGGUGUAGCGGUGAAAUGCGCAGAUAUCAGGAGGAACACCGGUGGCGAAGGCGGCCCGCUGGGCAGGAAGGGGUGGGUAACCACCCGGCUGACACUGAGGCGCGACAGCGUGGGGAGCAAACAGG